rnacentral:tRNA from 5 species
GCCCGGAUGGCGGAACUGGUAGACGCAAGGGACUUAAAAUCCCUCGGUUCUUGUAACUGUGCGAGUUCGAUUCUCGCUCCGGGCACCA